AGGGAUCAUUAAAGAGUUGCAAAACUCCAACCCCUGUGAACCUUACCUGCACGUUGCUUCGGCGGCCGACGCCGCGCCCGGCCGGGCGUGGAGGGCGCCGCCGGAGGUCUCAAACCCUAAAUUCUAGUGUGUCUCUGAGUAUGGAAAGAACCAAUCAAAACUUUCAACAACGGAUCUCUUGGCUCUGGCAUCGAUGAAGAACGCAGCGAAAUGCGAUAAGUAAUGUGAAUUGCAGAAUUCAGUGAAUCAUCGAAUCUUUGAACGCACAUUGCGCCCGCCGGUAUUCCGGCGGGCAUGCCUGUCCGAGCGUCAUUUCACCACUCAAGCCCAGCUUGGUGUUGGGGCACCCGGCCGCCUGGCGGUCGGGGCCCCCAAGUACAUCGGCGGUCCCGCCAGGGGCUCCGAGCGCAGUAACUCGCGGUAAAACGCGCCCUCGCUCGGCGGCCUCUUCGGGCUUCCAGCCGCUAAACCCCCCAGUGACGUUUCUCGAGUUGACCUCGGAUCAGGUAGGAAUACCCGCUGAACUUAA
rnacentral:rRNA from 1 species